AUUUAUAUAGCUUAUAUUUAGAGCAUAAUAUUGAAGCUAUUAAGGAAAUAUAUUUUAUUUAUAAAUA
rnacentral:tRNA from 1 species